UACGAAGGGGGCAAGCGUUGUUCGGAAUUACCGGGCGUAAAGGGCGCGCAGGCGGCCGAUCAAGUCAGAUGUGAAAGCCCCGGGCUCAACCUGGGAAUAGCAUUUGGGACUGGUUGGCUAGAGAUCGGGAGAGGAGAGUGGAAUUCCCAGUGUAGAGGUGAAAUUCGUAGAUAUUGGGAAGAACACCGGUGGCGAAGGCGGCUCUCUGGACCGAUACUGACGCUGAGGCGCGAAAGCGUGGGGAGCAAACAGG
rnacentral:rRNA from 1 species